rnacentral:rRNA from 1 species
GACAGGGGUCUCGAGCGUUAAUCGGAAUUACUGGCGUAAAGCGCACGUAGGCGGAUCGAUCAGUCAGGGGUGAAAUCCCAGGGCUCAACCCUGGAACUGCCUUUGAUACUGUCGAUCUGGAGUAUGGAAGAGGUGAGUGGAAUUCCGAGUGUAGAGGUGAAAUUCGUAGAUAUUCGGAGGAACACCAGUGGCGAAGGCGGCUCACUGGUCCAUUACUGACGCUGAGGUGCGAAAGCGUGGGGAGCAAACAGG